UGAGGGAUAUUGCACAAUGGGCGCAAGCCUGAUGCAGCGACGCCGCGUGGGUGAUGAAGGCUUUCGAGUCAUAAAACCCUUUUCUGUGUGACGAGCAAGGACGGUAGCACAGGAAUAAGUCUCGGCUAACUACGUGCCAGCAGCCGCGGUAAAACGUAGGAGACAAACGUUAUCCGGAGUUACUGGGCGUAAAGGGCGUGCAGGCGGUUUGGUAAGUCUGGCGUGAAAUCAUUCGGCUUAACCGGGUGAUGUCGUCGGAGACUGCCAGACUAGAGGGUGAUAGAGGCGUGUGGAAUUCCGGGUGUAGUGGUGAAAUGCGUAGAGAUCCGGAGGAACACCAGUGGCGAAGGCGACACGCUGGGCCGUACCUGACGCUAAGACGCGACAGCAUGGGGAGCAAACAGGAUUAGAUACCCAGGUAGUCCCUGAGCGGGCUGGCAAGGCGCAU
rnacentral:rRNA from 1 species